AGUGAACGCUGGCGGUAGGCCUAACACAUGCAAGUCGAACGGCAGCACAGUAAGAGCUUGCUCUUACGGGUGGCGAGUGGCGGACGGGUGAGGAAUACAUCGGAAUCUACUUUUUCGUGGGGGAUAACGUAGGGAAACUUACGCUAAUACCGCAUACGACCUACGGGUGAAAGCAGGGGAUCUUCGGACCUUGCGCGAUUGAAUGAGCCGAUGUCGGAUUAGCUAGUUGGCGGGGUAAAGGCCCACCAAGGCGACGAUCCGUAGCUGGUCUGAGAGGAUGAUCAGCCACACUGGAACUGAGACACGGUCCAGACUCCUACGGGAGGCAGCAGUGGGCAAUAUUGGACAAUGGGCGCAAGCCUGAUGCAGCCAUACCGCGUGGGUGAAGAAGGCCUUCGGGUUGUAAAGCCCUUUUGUUGGGAAAGAAAAGCAGCAGGUUAAUACCCCGCUGUUCUGACGGUACCCAAAGAAUAAGCACCGGCUAACUUCGUG
rnacentral:rRNA from 1 species